AGAAACCAAAAAUUGAGUUGAUUCGUGGAUAGCCUCAAAAGAUAAAGCGUUCUUCCAACGCGGUAUCCGUGUGCUGCCAGAAAAAUAGGAAAAAGUAGUGGCUAGCGAUGGACAAUACUUUGAAUAAAACAUUAGGCCCGGCGAUUUGUCUCAGCUCUAAGUGUGGAAGACUGUGGAAAUUUCUGAUGAAAAAUUUAAAAUUUCUUCCUCCACCAUGUUGAUAAAACUUUCAACCUUCUCAGUGCCGAAAAAGAAGAUUCCGCCGUGCAGGACAAAGUCGGGAUCAUCAAAAUUAAUCUUAUUAAUUUUAUAAAUUCCGGAGCCAAGUUCUUCACAUUCGGAUUUGUUAAAAAAAUCCAUUAUAUUUUUUAAAAAUUUAACCGUUACAAUUUUAAAUUUUAAGAUGUUCAAAAAAAGUUGGUGAUGUGUCCUUAGACUAUCCUUCUCCAAAUCAUCUUUAUAAAAAGAUAAUAACGAUUUUGCAUCGGAUUCAGUUCCAUUUACAAAUUUUUCGAAACGACUGAAAAGUUUGGAAACGUCGGAAUCAAAGCGAUGUCGCAUUGAUACGAGUACACUAUCACGUACUUCAAAAUACAUUAUUUAUUAUCUUUAAAA